rnacentral:snRNA from 1 species
AUCCUGCCCUGGCAGGGAGAGAGCAUGAUCAAGAAAGUGGUCUUCCCAGGGCGAGGCUGAUCCGGCGCACUCUGGACGCGCUGUCCUCUGCGAUUUCCCCAAAAUGUGGGAAACUUGACCGCAUAAAUUGUUGGGAGGGGGGUGCAUUCAUGCUUCCCCCCA